AUGGAAUUUGUUUGCCACCAAGUUAUGUUAUUAAUAGUCUAUAUGUUUCUUUUGUUGUGUUGCAUUACCUGCCUUAUAUUUUACUUCAUGCACCAUGCAUCUAUAUAUUUUUCCCCUCCUUUAUUUUCUGAAGAUGUCACCAUAGAGCUCAGCAACACGUUCUCAACCUCGGCAGAGGCAUUUCUCCUGAGCAAGCACAUUACAUACUCCAUCACGCUGGCAUCACAAGGCAAUGUGAUCUUGCCAUCGCUUGCAAAGCCAAUCCUUCUGGGACAUCCUCAGGAGCUCCUGGUACACCAAUGGUACCUCGAAGUGCCUCCCAUUGGCCGUGUACAUGACACAGUGGCCCUUGACUGCUAUUGA
rnacentral:rRNA from 1 species